AGGUCGUCUGUCGCCCUAGAGAUAGGGCUUUCCCCUUCGGGGGACAGAGUGACAGGUGGUGCAUGGUUGUCGUCAGCUCGUGUCGUGAGAUGUUGGGUUAAGUCCCGCAACGAGCGCAACCCUUGAUCUUAGUUGCCAGCAUUCAGUUGGGCACUCUAAGGUGACUGCCGGUGACAAACCGGAGGAAGGUGGGGAUGACGUCAAAUCAUCAUGCCCCUUAUGACCUGGGCUACACACGUGCUACAAUGGAUGGUACAAAGGGCUGCAAACCUGCGAAGGUAAGCGAAUCCCAUAAAGCCAUUCUCAGUUCGGAUUGCAGGCUGCAACUCGCCUGCAUGAAGCCGGAAUCGCUAGUAAUCGCGGAUCAGCAUGCCGCGGUGAAUACGUUCCCGGGUCUUGUAACACACCGAA
rnacentral:rRNA from 1 species